UCCCAGGAGGGGAGUCUGUGAGCGAGGAAGAAGCCCAGGCAGCUGGGGCCGCCCACAGGAACCCCGGAAGGCGGUGUCAGGAAGCAGGCAUGAAUUCUGGCAGACGCGCCCGACUGCAGGAAUUCGCUGUGGGGAAAACAGCUGCCUUAGUCAUCCACAUGGAAGUGAUUGAGACUGGAGGGAGAAUGGCUGAGCAGAAAGGCCGUGUGUGAGGAGGCCGUGGAGAUGCGGGCAGGCCGGCAUGAAGAAACGGAGGCCCAGAGGCGAUGAGGCUGUCCCCUCCCUCGUGCACAUGUCUGAGCCCAGCCUCCAGUGUCGAGCAGCAGAUGCUAAAGGUCCUCAUCGGACACCUGCAGGUUUCAAGAGCUACGCAUUUCUGGAUUAGGAUGCUUAAUCCAGGUUUAACCCCCAAAAGUCACAGCCCCUGCCCCCCUGCAUCCAGUAUUAUAAAGGAAUGUGACUUGUACAUCUUUUAAAAUGUAUUCCAGCCAUUUGCUUGCCAGUGUUAGAGACAAAAUAUUCUGGUAAUAACUUGCUCUUCACAAUGAUUCAAGGAAGUAAGUACUAUUACCAUAACCAUGGCACAGAUGAGAAAACUGCCCAGGGCCAGAGAACAAGGAAAUGUCAGAGUGGGAUUCGAAUCCAGGUUUACCUAAGUUCAGAGACAGUUUUUGUCUCUCUGCUAUAUUUCCAAUAUGUAUAUGUGUAUGUAUAUGUAUUUCCUAUACAUUUCUUCUAGUUGAAGCUUUAAAAGAAGCUGUCUUUUGAACCAGAGAUAAUGCGAACUAACUGCAAAGGCAUAAUAAAUUUCAGAUUUCUUUACCAUGGUCCUAAAUCCUGGGGUCUACUUCAGUGUCCAUAAGAUGCAAGGUGCCACUUAUACUAUAAAAAACAUACAGAUUAAGAUUUAAAACUUCCACUUAACGCUUGAGCACAGAGCUCACCCUAAUGUGGCAACCUGACUACUUUCAAAAUGUACCUACCCAAGAAAAAGCUUCGGUAUUGUACUCAUGCAUGUAUCAUAUGCUUUAUGAUUUGAUAAUUUCAUAAAUAAAAAUUAAGGCAUGAACCAAGUCAGUUACUAAGAACA